rnacentral:lncRNA from 1 species
AGAUGGCAGUGUGGGUGGUCACUCACACAGCCCAGGUGAAAGCCUGGGAGGCUCACUCCCAGAGUUGCCUGCCUUCACAGUGUCAUUGCGUUCUAGAUCUUGAAGUCGCGCAUGUCACUUACGUAGUUUGUGUGUCGCAUAUUACAGCCUGUGUAUUCCACUCAUCCGUGAGUCAUGACAAUCUUUUUUUUGGGUACGUGGAUGGGAUCCUUGUGCUGCACAGUGUUUCCACACUCUGAUGUUGUCACAUUCCUGAUAAGACUGUCCUUAUUUUUAUUUUUUUUUAUUUUUUGGGGGAAGGGUACCAGGGAUUGAACUCAGGAGCCCUCGACCCCUGAGCCCCGUCCUCAGAACUUUUUAUAUUUUAUUUAGAGAUAGGGUCUCGCUGAGUUGCUUAGGGGCUUGUUAAGUCGCUGAGGCUGGCCUCCACCUUGCAAUCCUCCUGCCUCAGCCUCCUGAGCUGCUGGUGUGCCCCCGCCAUGGCCUCCUCCUAUGUUUACAGCUAUGUUCUUCAGUCCGUUUUUGAACAGCCCCUCCCUGUCACUUGGCUGCUGCUUCUAUUGAUAUAACCUUUUGACCACCCAAGAGGAAAGAGCCCUCCCAGCAGCUGCUCACGUCACCUGGCCUUCGGUCACACUGAGACCUCUGGAUUCACUGGAGUGUGCCAUUCCGUUUCAUGUUCAGGCUGAGGGCAGUAAGCACACUAGUAACCCAGAAAAAUGUUAGAAGUCUCUUUUCCUCUGCAUAUUAAAGCAAUCGUUUUUCA